rnacentral:rRNA from 1 species
CUGCUCCUAGUACGAGAGGACCGGAGUGGACGCAUCACUGGUGUUCGGGUUGUCAUGCCAAUGGCACUGCCCGGUAGCUAAAUGCGGAAGAGAUAAGUGCUGAAAGCAUCUAAGCACGAAACUUGCCCCGAGAUGAGUUCUCCCUGACUCCUUGAGAGUCCUGAAGGAACGUUGAAGACGACGACGUUGAUAGGCCGGGUGUGUAAGCGCAGCGAUGCGUUGAGCUAACCGGUACUAAUGAACCGUGAGGCUUAACCUUACAACGCCGAAGGUGUUU